AACGAACGCUGGCGGCAUGCCUAACACAUGCAAGUCGAACGAGACCUUCGGGUCUAGUUGCGCACGGGUGCGUAACGCGUGGGAACCUGCCCUUAGGUUCGGAAUAACUCCCCGAAAGGGGUGCUAAUACCGGAUAAUGUCUUCGGACCAAAGAUUUAUCGCCUUGGGAUGGGCCCGCGUUGGAUUAGCUAGUUGGUAGGGUAAAAGCCUACCAAGGCGACGAUCCAUAGCUGGUCUGAGAGGAUGAUCAGCCACACUGGGACUGAGACACGGCCCAGACCCCUACGGGAGGCAGCAGUGGGGAAUAUUGGACAAUGGGCGAAAGACUGAUCCAGCAAUGCCGCGUGAGUGAGGAAGGCCUUAGGGUUGUAAAGCUCUUUUACCCGGGAUGAUAAUGACAGUACCGGGAGAAUAAGCUCCGGCUAACUCCGUG
rnacentral:rRNA from 1 species